AGCUGGCUUGGAGAGGAAAGAGCAACGCCAGGUGCAGCUGCUCAGAGAGGGGUUCAAAUACAACCACGGAAAUAACCUCUGGUGUCAGCGUCCAGGGCCUCUAACGACUAAUCUAGAGAGUCUAAAGCAAAUCAUUAACGCCGCCUUUCUUGUCUCUUCCUCUUGUGCAGUGUCGCCGUGGGAGGCUGCGUUUAUUGGCAAGUCCGGGUUUUCUCUCCUCUUGGCGGAGCUACGGGGAGGAAGAGAGGUGGGAGGAAGAGAGAUGCCCCGAGAGAGGGGCCCAGGUAUGUUGUGCAAAGGUAAAUGGGCAUCAGACAGCUGAACCGCAGAGGGAGAAAAGCAAUGGAAAUUGCCUAAUGAUUCUGCCAGGAAGAAUAUGUUUCUCUUUGCAGAGAAGAGACAACCUUGCAUCUCCCACUGGCUCCCCACAGGGCAGCCCAGGAAACGGUCAGUGUUAAGAACCGUGUGCCCCGAUGUGCUGUUUUGCCUCCUUCUGCUUUCCCGGAGUCUCAGGCUGGAAUCUGGGCACCUCACACAGCCAGGCUGCAUCCCCCCGAUUGCCCCCUGGGGUCCGAGUGAGCCCCCUUCUCUCACUGGAGGUCCUGGCAACAGGGCCCCUGAUCUGCCGGAAGUCGGUCUGCCGGCUCAGAAGUGGGGCGCUUGGUCUUUGUUGCAGACUUGGCCCUGGCCUCACUUCGCGCUGUCACUUCUCACCACAGUCAGGAGACGGGAAACCCUGUUCUCCCCCAGGCUGAUGCCCUAGUGCCGGCAGGGUCGCGGGGCUGCUAGCGGGAGCCUGGCCCUGGGCCCCGGUUCUCACUGCCAGGCUUUCUUCCUUCACUGCCUCGUCUUUUUCUGUCCGCCUUCCGGGGCCCUGAGCAUGGCCUUGGGACUCCAGGUCAGGGCGGGAGCCUUGCUACUGCUGAAGGGGUGCUGCCUGUCCGUACGCUUACAGGCUUAGGGGCACCUGCCCUAGACAGUCUGUCUAUGGUGGGGUCCAGCCACAUUUUGCAGCCCACCUUUAUUUAACUCUGGGCCACUAAUUUCUAGCAGCUUCCCUGGAUGUGAUGAAAAAUGUCCUAAGCCCCAGGUACCAAGUGGCUGUCAGAUGGACGCGCUCUCUCAGUGCCUGGGAUGGAGUUAACCCUCACCCCCCACCGCUGAACCACUCCUCCCAGUUUUGCUCCCUGUUCCAUCCUGCUGUGAGUUCCCACUAACUCUACUAGAUCCUGGGCUGGAUCUGGAUUUAAUACAGAUGCCUGUAUUAAAUUAAUUCUCACGUUACUUCUACAGGGAAAUUAGUAUAAAAUUUAGGGUCCUGAGCCCUGACCAUUUUUAACUGCAAAGCAAGCUUUUAGGAAAGGCAAUAUUCCCCACAACCCUCUGAGCAGAGAGGACACUUGACCUAAGAGCCCAUCCUUAGUGGUCCCGGCUCCCUCAGUCCUCGAGGGAGCCUGAGGACCAGCCGGAUCAAUGUUGCUGCUGAAGCCAGACUGGGGGACACUUCGCACCUUUCAUGUGGAAACGUGGUGUGCAGUCAUUUCAGGAAGGCCGCUCCGUUUAUUGUCAGCGUCGUCGUUUCCAGCACUGGACGGCUCGUAGGACAGUAAGAGGGUUAUUAGCCGGGACUACUGGGCGGGAGAGAUGAGCCCUGCUCCCAAUCCGGGGAGCGAAUGUGUAAGGACAUUUACUGCUUCGCCCAACGCCCCUGGGCCCUUCCCACCGCUGCCUGGCUGGGACGGUUCAGCCUCCUGUUAGAGCCCGUGUGAUGACACGUAGAUCGUGUGUGUGUGUGCGUGUGCAUGCGUGGGUGCAUAUGUGUGCAGGAACCAGUGCAGCCCUGUGCUGGCUCCAGGGCUGAGGUUUUAAAGUCCUGAAACGUGAUGUGCGUUGAGCCUCCUUGGGCCUCCUGCCGAGGGCUGCCUUUCACACUCAGCCUCUCUAGGUGUAGUGGUUUCUGCGCAUGGCUCCAAAUCCACUCCCUUUUUCUGAAUGACCUGUUUGCUGUCGCCUGCCCCCAAAGGCAGAGCUGUCCUGUGAGCACACGCUGUGACAGAGGGGUGGUGGGCGACAAGACCAGGGAGUCACCUCCCCACUCUGGCCUCAGUUUCCUCGUCUGUCCAGUGUUGACGUUGGACCAGACACACUUUAAGAUCCCGUUCAACCAGGGACUCUUAGCUGUUUUUAUAUAGUGGACCCUUCUCAGAAUAAUGCUUUUCAAAUGCAUCAAAUAGAGCUCAUGGGAAGACAAAGUAAGCCAGCUGUGCUGAAAGACCAUUCCACUCCGUGGACCCAGGUGAAGAGCCAGCGCCACGCUUAACGUGGGUAAUACGAUCACACUAGACCCUUGCAGGGGCCUGGAGUGGCUGGGGAGUGAGAUGCAGUGAGGAGAAUGCAGACCCUGAUUCAGUUCUUAGCCACCUGCCGCGCCCCAGACGACAAGCUGUGUGAUUCUGGAGAAGUUCCUCAGUGUUGCAGCACCUCAGCUUCCUCAACUAUCAAAUGGGAGCAAUAACCCUUAUCUCACAGGGUCAGGGGGCUCCCAGAACCACCCAUACGCGGUGAACACUCCCAUAAACGAAGGUUGCCUUCCUCCAUCACACAGGGCACAGUCGCUCUGGCUCCACCCGCCCCCUCUGCGGAGAGGACUCGCCCCCAGGCCCUCUUCGUGUGAUCCGCAGCGCCACCUAGUGGACGUCGGCUGUCUUUCCCCUCUGCUCCGUGCACUUGUCUCCUAAAUUUCUGCAGUAAUCAACCUUGACAGAAAGCUCGUGUUUUGCAAGACAUAAAAGGGCGACGCUGGAAGUUCACCAAGGAUAGCAGAGAGGGAGAAGGCACUGGCCUCAGGUCUUUGAUCAGGAAAUGUAGCCAGGGCUGGCCAACAAGGGGAGGGUCCCACGGUGGGUAAGGGCUGGCACUCCUAACGGACAACCAACCACGCCAGCCUCACUUCGAAUCAGGAAACUUGAAAUUCCUAAUUAACAGUUGUUAAUUACUUGGGAAUUACUGAGCCGUAUUAUAAAUGGUAGUUCCCGUUGCACUGAGUUGGAAGCAUUUACAGCGGGUUAAGCGUUCCACGCUCCCAAAUGUUUGUUCCUUUUACCUGUUCCCCUCCUGACGAAGGGCCACCCGCUACCUGCCCAGGAGCAGGUCAGCUGAUGCGAAUCCUAAGUAGACUUUCCUCUGUCCCAUUAUCACAGUUGGUCUCUCCUCAUUCGUCAGCCCCUCUAGAAUGUCACUCGUCUUAAUGUAUUUUACUUCCAUCACGCUGGCCCCUUGGUUACCUCUCUCUUUUCUAUAUUAAAGACAUUCAGCCUGAGCAUUCAAGUUCAUCUUGCAAUCCACGCCACUCACAUUUCUAGCGCCUUUCAUCUCUGAACUCUCUAACUGUGGAAAUGGACAUGAUUCAUUCUGGAAACCUUCACUCUGUUCUCGUGACCUCAUCUGUAAACUACUAAAUAUUUUUCAUACUGAUGGAGUCACGGGGUCCCAGAACGGCAUCACUGUGAAUUCCGCCUUCGCUGCCCCUCAGUUUUCCCAUCAUGACUUAGAUUCCAUCACUAUCUCUCCUCUUUGGUGUCUUUUAUGUCUGCUUCACAAAUACUUUACCAUUGUUCCCAGAGCCCAGAGGGAAACGGGGAAGAGCUUCCAGGAAGAAUCAAGCUGUUCCAAGCACCACGAUAUAGGCGCUCACUGUACUUUCUUUGCAGAAAAACGCUGACCAUCUCUAACCUCUAUAAACUAUCUAUUUCGACACCACUGGAGCUAGAUUUUCAAAGCAGAGUUCUUGGUAUUUGAUGCCCUUCCUCCAAAAAAUGCGAUCACCUCCUCUGACUUCCAGCGUUCGCUCUCUUUCCCCUGCUCACUUUCUUCAGUUCCCUUUACUCACCAUCUGCUUCUGCCUCAUUGUCCACUUGCUGCUGACCGUCAUCCUCGCCUUUGCCCUUGCUGCUUCCUCCGCCCGGCGUGCCUCUUCCCAUGUGAUGCCACCUACUGAAAUUCUCCACGACCCAACUCAGGUGAAGGCCACUCAAGGUGGAAUUAAUCACUUCUUUCUUUUCUCUUCUACAACACAUCCCUUGCUCUUUACUUUUUUGCUUUUCUUUUUUUAAAUAGUAGACUUUGGGGGUAGGGAGGUAAUCAAGUUUGUUUGUUUGUUUGUUUAUUUUAAUGGAGGUACUGGGGAUUGAACCCAGGUCCUUUUUCAUGCUAAGCACACACCCUACCACUGGGCUAUACCCUCUCCUGCUGUUCCUUGUUCUUCGGUAUCUAGCUUUCAUCUCGUUCUACCUGCCGUUAAAGUUACUUGUUUCUAUAUCUCCCUUCUCUGCUGCAAACUCUUUGAAUGAUGGGACUACUUACCUUUCUUGAAGUGCCUGAAAGGUUCUUUCUAAUGCUGAUCGGGACAAGAUUUGAGAGACUCAAAAUAGUUUUCCAAGUCUCUGGAGGAACUCAAGUUAGCAAAAAGACACCAGCUGAAAACCUGGGGAUGGUCAGGGGAAGGAAGAAGGAGGUGGUGAGGGUCACUCACAUGUAGAUGGUGUCGGGUUCCAGGCAUCGUAUGAUCAGAGAGAUGGUGGUGAGCUGCUUUUCCGGGACCUGAGAGGGCAUGGCACACGGAGACUUGGCGCCUGAGAUGAUGUCGUCCACAAAGCUCAGCACCGUUUCUGCCCGGGGGGUGGGGGGUGGAGGGGAAAAGGCGUGAGAGAGUGUGAUGGCCAAGCAGCCCCCAGCGGGGACCAACUCCAUGAGAACUAAAUAUGAAAAUCCGCUGGUCCCAGGCUUCUGAAACUCCUAGCAGGGAAAGGAGCCCCUAGAAGGAAUGGCUUUCCUGCCUCUUUCCGAUUCAGCUAGUCAGUUUAGAGCCAUUUGUCCAGAGUUAGUUCUGAAACAACCAAGGUGAGAUGUACCUGCCACCUCUGUGAGCUCUUUUACGACAUGUUCUCGGCACGGGCAGGGAACGGCUGUUCUGGUCACUGGUCACUGCCCCUCCUUCCCCGUACCUGUGCACAUCAGGGGAGGACCCCUGAGGAAGCCGGGGCAUGCCCGGCUCUCCACGCCCGGAGGCAGCGCGCAGGUUUCCAGGCUUUGGCAACAGUUUCACCAGAAGCUGUUUGCCCUGAAUCAGACUGUGGACGCCACCAUCCUGCUGGUGACCAUACUCGUGCGUCAGUUUGAGCGAUGAUUUAUGUUGACCUUUCCCUACUUGUAGACAAUGGACCACUAAGGCAUGAAACAUUGUUUCAUGGGGUGUUUCCACCCUUUUAAGACUUCCCUCUGCUAGCUGGAACUGGCAAAAUCAGAGUUUGCUUUAGGACAAGAUGUGGGGUAAGCACAUCUGUUUCUCCGUGUUUUUGCCUGAACAGGGCCAGGGGGUGGGAUUUAUUAGCAAAGGAAUUUUUUCUUCUGUAAUCAUGACAGUGGUUAACACAGAACUGUUUCCUAAUUGUGGGCUAGGACAACUAGUGUAGUGCAGUGUUGUUUCUUGGUGAGUGUGCCUAGAGGCAAUGAAAUGGACACCUCUCUUAUAAACAAAAAGAAAAACAAAAUCAAAGCAAGAUUGUCAAAGGCUCACCAUGCAAAACGUCUCAAGUGGAAAAGAUGGUGGCUGCUUUUCCUCCCCGCUCCUCCCACGUGGCCCUGGGACACUGGGGACCUGGAGCAAAGCCAGGAGGCGGGACAUCUUCCUUGUCUUUUGUUUUUACCCCCUCCCCCCGGGAUUGAGAAGAGCCCGUGAAGGGGGAGAUGCUCACCUGUCUCCACUUUGGAGUGAUCCAUCCUGUCAGUGACCUUUUCUUGACGGAUGAGGUAAUCUACAAUCUGCACCCCGAUUGGAGGCUCCGAGUGCUCCCACUCCAGGACCACGAGGGUGCUGCUGGGCUCGUGAACCGUGGAGAGUCUCAGCCUGGGUGCCGACAGGAAGAAAUAUGAAACGGACGCCCAGCCGAGACCCGUGACGUCUCCUGAUGCCACUACCGGCCACCUUAUCAAUGGUCACAUCGUAAACUCUUCUUUCUAACCUUUCAUAAACAACCAUUACAAUGAUCUUUUUGAAGGCUUGUCUCCUUCCCUAGAGGAAAGGUUCGGGAAGAUCCUUGACAUCUGUAUUUUAUUCAUCUAAGUGUCUGUUACAGAGUGGAACUCAACAUGUACUUGUAAAUAAAUAACUGAGUCAAAGAUGAA